GACAGAGGUGCCAAGCGUUAGGCGGAAUCACUGGGCUUAAAGCGUGUGUAGGUGGAUGCCUAAGUACCUUGUGAAAUCCCACGGCUUAACCGUGGAACUGCUUGGUAUACUGGGUGUCUUGAGCCAACUAGGGGCAGUCGGAACAAACGGUGGAGCGGUGAAAUGCGUAGAUAUCGUUUGGAACGCCAAUGGUGAAAACAGACUGCUGGGGUUGUGCUGACACUGAGACACGAAAGCCAGGGGAGCAAACGGG
rnacentral:rRNA from 1 species